rnacentral:rRNA from 1 species
AUUGAACGCUGGCGGCAGGCCUAACACAUGCAAGUCGAGCGAGCGGCGGACGGGUGAGUAAUGUAUGGGGAUCUGCCCGAUAGAGGGGGAUAACUACCGGAAACGGUGGCUAAUACCGCCUACUCCAGGAUGAAACAAUAUGGGUGUGUCUAGUAGGUGGGUACAAGUCUCACCUAGGCGACGAUCUCUAGCUGGUCUGAGAGGAUGAUGCGCCCAACGGGUACUGAGACACGGCCCAGAAUCUUACGGGAGGCAGCAGUGGGGAAUAUUGCACAAUGGGCGAAAGCCUGAUGCAGCCAUGCCGCGUGUAUGAAGAAGGCCUUAGUGUUGGAAAGUACUUUCAGCGGGGAGGCGUUACCCGCAGAAGAAGCAACGGCUAACUCCGUGCCAGCAGCCGCGGUAAUAG